CUACGGGCUGCACCAGUGAGGAAUAUUGCACAAUGGGGGGAACCCUGAUGCAGCAACGCCGCGUGGAGGAUGACGCAUUUCGGUGUGUAAACUCCUUUUAUAUGUCAAGAAAAUGACGGUAGCAUAUGAAUAAGCACCGGCUAACUCCGUGCCAGCAGCCGCGGUAAUACGGAGGUGCAAGCGUUACUCGGAAUCACUGGGCGUAAAGGACGCGUAGGCGGGCUUGUAAGUCAGGUGUGAAAUCCUACAGCUUAACUGUAGAACUGCACUUGAAACUACGAGCCUAGAGUAUGGGAGGGGGAGAUGGAAUUAGUGGUGUAGGGGUAAAAUCCGUAGAUAUCACUAGGAAUACCUAAAGCGAAGGCGAUCUCCUGGAACAUAACUGACGCUAAGGCGUGAAAGCGUGGGGAGCAAACAGGAUUAGAUACCCCCGUAGUC
rnacentral:rRNA from 1 species